rnacentral:rRNA from 1 species
GACGAACGCUGGCGGCGUGCCUAACACAUGCAAGUCAAAGUCUGAGUGACUUCGGUUACGAGGACUUGGCGCAAGGGUGAGUAAUGUAUAGGUAAUCUGCCCUUUGGUUUGGGAUAACCCCGAGAAAUCGGGGACAAUAUCAGAUGAUGCAGCGGAACCGCAUGGUUAUGUUGUUAAAGAUUUAUCGCCAAAGGAUGAGCCUAUAUCCCAUCAGGUAGUUGGUAAGGUAACGGCUUACCAAGCCUACGACGGGUAGCUGGUCUGAGAGGAUGAUCAGCCACAUUGGAACUGAGACACGGUCCAGACUCCUACGGGAGGCAG